AUUGAACGCUGGCGGCAUGCCUUACACAUGCAAGUCGAACGGCAGCGCGGGAGCAAUCCUGGCGGCGAGUGGCGAACGGGUGAGUAAUAUAUCGGAACGUGCCCAGUAGUGGGGGAUAGCCCGGCGAAAGCCGGAUUAAUACCGCAUACGACCUACGGGGGAAAGGGGGGGAUCGCAAGACCCCGCGCUAUUGGAGCGGCCGAUAUCAGAUUAGGUAGUUGGUGGGGUAAAGGCCCACCAAGCCUACGAUCUGUAGUUGGUCUGAGAGGACGACCAGCCACACUGGGACUGAGACACGGCCCAGACUCCUACGGGAGGCAGCAGUGGGGAAUGUUGGACAAUGGGGGCAACCCUGAUCCAGCAAUGCCGCGUGCAGGAAGAAGGCCUUCGGGUUGUAAACUGCUUUUGUCAGGGAAGAAAUCCCUUGGGUUAAUACCUCGGGGGGAUGACGGUACCUGAAGAAUAAGCACCGGCUAACUACGUGCCAGCAGCCGCCGUAACAC
rnacentral:rRNA from 1 species